rnacentral:rRNA from 1 species
UGGGGAAUUGUUCGCAAUGGGCGCAAGCCUGACGACGCAACGCCGCGUGGAGGACGAAGAUCUUCGGGUCGUAAACUCCUGUCGAGCGGGAAGAAACCCGCGAGGGUGAACAACCCUGGCGGUUGACGGUACCGCUAAAGGAAGCCCCGGCUAACUCCGUGCCAGCAGCCGCGGUAAUACGGGGGGGGCAAGCGUUGUUCGGAAUUACUGGGCGUAAAGGGCUCGUAGGCGGCCAACUAAGUCGGACGUGAAAUCCCCAGGCUCAACCUGGGAACUGCGUCCGAUACUGGAUGGCUUGAAUCCGGGAGAGGGAUGCAGAAUUCCAGGUGUAGCGGUGAAAUGCGUAGAUAUCUGGAGGAAUACCGGUGGCGAAGGCGGCAUCCUGGACCGGCAUUGACGCUGAGGAGCGAAAGCCAGGGGAGCAAACGGG